AUGUCAAGAAUAGAUGACUUAGUGUAUGUUGCUUCUCCCAAAAGUGGAAGCACCACUCUUUUAAGGUGCGUUGUUGCCGUGCAUUAUACAAAUGACAGGUAUGUGAGGAUAAACAAUGGUAGGAUGUGGAACAUGCAGUUUGCGCUCAAAUUUUUCCUUUUCUUUUUGAAACGGAACAGUUUGUGCCAAAAUUUGAUCAAUAAGCUGUUCUGUUCAACGAACGGUGGGAUGUUUUGCACUUUUUCAAGUCUACCUUUCUAUUUUUACCGUGUCUUGCUUUUAGUACAAAUAAUAGAUAGAUAG
rnacentral:rRNA from 1 species